rnacentral:rRNA from 1 species
AGAUACCCUGUUACACUAGAAGGUAAAUGAACAUGUCGACUGGAGUAGUUAUAAUAAAUUUGUUUAAAAUUCAAAGAACCUGGCGGUACUUUAGUCUAGUUAGAGGAACCUGUUGUAUAAACGAUAAACCACGUAAGAUCUUUCUCACUCUCGUAAAGCCAGUAUACCUUCAUUGUUAGAUAAUCUUUUCUUACAUGGAUUAUUGGAAUUGGGUUACCAAGUAUAUUAGAUCAAGGUGCUGCUGAUGAGUGAGUACAAAUGGGUUACAGUAUUUUUUUGGAGAGGCGGAUAAUAUCAAGAAUUUGAUAUUUGAAGAUGGAUUUAAUUGUAAGUUUUGGUUUUAGUAAGGCAAAA